rnacentral:rRNA from 1 species
UACGUAGGCAGCGAGCGUUGUUCGGAGUUACUGGGCGUAAAGGGUGUGUAGGCGGUUGUUUAAGUUUUGGUGUGAAAUCUCCCCGGCUCAACUGGGGAGGGUGCGCCCGAAUACUGAGCGACUAGAGUGCGGGAGAGGAAAGUGGAAUUCCUGGUGUAGCGGUGAAAUGCGUAGAUAUCAGGAGGAACACCGGUGGUGUAGACGGCUUUCUGGACCGUAACUGACGCUGAGACACGAAAGCGUGGGUAGCAAACAGG